CCUACGGGCGGCAGCAGUGAGGAAUAUUGCUCAAUGGACGAAAGUCUGAAGCAGCGAAGUAGCGUGAAGGAUGACUGCCCUAUGGGUUGUAAACUUCUUUUAUAUGGGAAUAAAAUGUUCCACGUGUGGGAUUUUGUAUGUACCAUAUGAAUAAGGCACGGCUAACUCCGUGCCAGCAGCCGCGGUAAUACGGAGGAUCCGAGCGUUAUCCGGAUUUACUGGGUUUAAAGGGAGCGUAGGUGGAUUGGUAAGUCAGUUGUGAAAGCUUGCGGCUCAACCGGAAAAUUGCAGUUGAAACUGGCAGUCUUGAGUACAGUAGAGGUGGGCGGAAUUCGUGGUGUAGCGGUGAAAUGCUUAGAUAUCACGAAGAACACCGGUGGCGAAGGCAGUUCACUGGACUGCAACUGACGCUGAGGCUCGAAAGUGUGGGUAGCAAACAGGAUUAGAUACCCUGGUAGUC
rnacentral:rRNA from 1 species